rnacentral:lncRNA from 1 species
ACUGAUAUAUAAUGUAUUAUUUCUCAAGUAAUCUUUAUUUUCACUGUUACUAUUUAAAAGCAUGAAUUUGCUGCAACCUUUAUAUAGUGAAAUCUACUAGGCGCACAAAACUUGGC